CCGAGUUAUCAACUCCCAACCCCUGUGAACAUACCUUUUGUUGCCUCGGCGGGAUCGCCCCGGCGCCUCCGGGCCCGGAUCCAGGCGCCCGCCGCAGGACCCAAACUCUUGUUUUCUAUAUGAAUCUUCUGAGUGACACAAGCAAAUAAAUUA
rnacentral:misc_RNA from 1 species